rfam:Gossypium hirsutum cultivar TM-1 chromosome 25, whole genome shotgun sequence
AUUCUGUGAUGAGGGAAAUUUCGUAAUAAUUCUGUUUACCUUUCCCAUGCCUCAUACAAUGACUCAUCAUCCAUUUGUUGGAAAGUAGUGAUCUCGUUCCUCAACUU